rnacentral:rRNA from 1 species
AACGAGCGCAACCCUUAUCGUUAGUUGCCAUCUGGUAAAGCAGGGGACUCUAGCGAAACUGCCACCGUAAGGUGAGAGGAAGGUGGGGAUGACGUCAAAUCAGCACGGCCCUUAUGUCCAGGGCUACACACGUGUUACAAUGGUCAGUACAGAGGGCAGCUACCUGGUGACAGGAUGCUAAUCUCGAAAACCGGCCUCAGUUCGGAUCGAAGUCUGCAACUCGACUUCGUGAAGCUGGAUUCGCUAGUAAUCGCGCAUCAGCCAUGGCGCGGUGAAUACGUUCCCGGACCUU